AUGCCUUUGUGAUAUUUUGAUAUUGUAAAGUAGGUUGUGAUCGUUGUUGAAGUUUGGUUGUGGACCCUUGAUGACCGUUGGACAUUCUUAGCGUGAUGUUAACUUGUUGUAGCCGCUUAAGGUGACAGGUUAGCUCAAAGAUGUAUUGGAUGAUUGAUUGCCUGGUUUUGCUAGAAUUGGAUUUGGACUUGGACUUCUUGGAUCCGUGAUUCAUUAUUCCCGAUUAGGGUUUAUGCUUAGAUGUGAUCCGGUUGCUUGCACUACUAAAUGGUUCGUAUGGAUUUACUUGAUCCUUUUAUGCAUUUAGUUUACUCUA